rnacentral:rRNA from 1 species
UACAGAGGGGGCAAGCGUUAUUCGGAAUUAUUGGGCGUAAAGGGCGCGUAGGCGGCUUUGCAAGUGACGGGUGAAAUCCCUCGGCUUAACCGAGGAACUGCCUGUCAAACUGCAUGGCUUGAGACCGGGAGAGGUGAGUGGAAUUCCCAGUGUAGCGGUGAAAUGCGUAGAUAUUGGGAGGAACACCAGUGGCGAAGGCGGCUCACUGGACCGGUACUGACGCUGAUGCGCGAAAGCGUGGGGAGCAACAGGG